GCCGCAUUCCUCUGUUCUCAUUUCAUAUAUCAAUCAAAUGUGAGAUGAUUCCAUCCUCCAUUUUGUUUUUUAAAGAAAUCAUAAAUAUGUUAGAGAAACCCAUAGAAAACUUGUUUAACCUUUUAAUAUUGAUCUCUUAAACCUGCUUAAACGUGUGCAGAUGGAUGGACGAAAGAGUUUGAAGUGCUUUGAGAUCUAUGCAUGGCACGAUCCAAUGGUAGACAUCGCAAAAGAAGGUCAAUCAUUCUUUCGUGAGAAAGAUGCAACCCAGGCCCUAGUCGGAUUCAGUUCACAUUGGAUCCACAAUGGAUCAAUUUUCAGGCCUGGUGCUUGUCAGAUUACUUCGGCGG
rnacentral:lncRNA from 1 species